rnacentral:tRNA from 2 species
GCAGGAUUGGCCUAGUGGUAAGGCGUCGCACUCGUAGCUGCUCCGAUAUGCGAAGAUCUCCAGUUCGAUCCUGGAAUUCUGCA